AAUCAUCAUGAAACAAAAAAAUGUACUUGACUAUCGCUAGACGCUAUGGCGUCUCCUGAUUUGUGUUAUUUUUUUAUUUCUAACGAAUACGAUAAUACUAAUACUAAGAGUCCUGUGUUAUAUAACAAUGUCUUAAACUAAAUGGAGGACGAAACUAAAAAAAUCGCGGUCCAAAAUAGUGGAAAAACCAUUUUGAAAAAUUAGUGUGCUGUUUUCUUGGAAUAGAUUCGGAUUUGGAAAGAAAUACGAUAAUAAUUAUCCUGACACGCCUCCCUCCAGUCAAAUAUGUGAUGGGAUUCCUCCUCCGUUGAACGAAAACCCCGAACGAGAUUCCUGACACUUAUCUAUAGAGGCUAUAAAUCUUUUCCCAGAAGGUUAACGCUUCCAUUUGGACAUCAAAAUGAUGAAAACGCAAUCGGUUUCGAUUGUUAUAACUUUUAAUGUCGCGACAACGCGGCAUCGUCGCCUCCGCUUCACUUUCACUUGAUUCUCGCGCGUCGCACGCUUCUGCAAGGUGCCGCGCAGUUUUCACGGCGAGAAGUGGCCGACGACGGGGGGUUGUGUACGUCUCGCGGUUCGGACCGACCUGAACGAGCUGACGGACAAACGCACAAUAAGAACGAGGAAUACCCCCGCAGAGCCAGACAUGAAGACGUCACUCAAAAACGGUAACGUGGUCAGGAGUGCCCGGACACGGGGUCAGGCCCAAGCUGACCGUUCUAGGCUGCUCGGUUCAGCUACGUUCUCUUAUGAGUGAGUCAGCGUCUCGGCAGCACUUUCUUCAAGAAAUUCAACUUAAUUCGGCAAUUAAACAUAAUAUCACAUGGAAUAAGUCAGUAACUAAUUUUGAGACCAUCCGUUUAUUAUAGAGGCCGGUUAUAAAUUAACAAUACAAUUAUCAGUAUGUACAUGCCAGUGAAUGCUGAUUAGAAGUACAAAAUUAUUGUUAAAAAGUUAUUGCAAUGUAAAAGAAAAACGAGUCGAAUUUUCUUUACCGGUCAGCUCCUUCACUUGAUAAAAUUCAGGGGAUAUAUUUCCGAUUAAACUUAUUUCGAGAAGCAAACACCUGAUCUUUCGAAAGGCGUGGAAAUAGUAGCGAAUUGAGAGGACGAGCCGUCGCUGCAGGCAAGGCGAAACGAGGAUUAUUUUUUGUUUUGACGACUGACAUGCGGCGCAGUUACAAUCUCUAUUUACAAGCUGAGGAAUUUAUUUGGAAUUUUUCGGUGUGAACGACCUUUCAAAAUUCGGGUUUUUCACAUUUCAUGCAUGGUGGAUCUUUUUCUCUUUCUCUCUUCGUCACUAAAAAGACUCUCCGAAAUGCGUCGCUUAUAGAUUCAGGUAAGCUAUUUAGAAGAAACUGUCAAAAUUGUGGACUGUAAACAUCUAGCUGUCAGGUAAAAUAAUUUUUAGUUUCUAUCGGGCAUACCAAUUGUAAGACCUGCGUCUGUCAAUUUUGCGAUGGAAUACUGAUAUGCUGCAAAUAAAAGAUAACUUAAGAUCUUUAA